CCUACGGGAGGCUGCAGUGGGGAAUAUUGCACAAUGGGGGAAACCCUGAUGCAGCGACGCCGCGUGAGUGAAGAAGUAUCUCGGUACGUAAAGCUCUAUCAGCAGGGAAGAAAAUGACGGUACCUGACUAAGAAGCCCCGGCUAACUACGUGCCAGCAGCCGCGGUAAUACGUAGGGGGCAAGCGUUAUCCGGAUUUACUGGGUGUAAAGGGAGCGUAGGUGGUUUGGCAAGUUAGUAGCGUAACUCCAAGGCUCAACCUUGGAACUACUACUAAAACUGUUGGACUUGAGUGCAGGAGGGGCAAGCGGAAUUCGUAGUGUAGCGGUGGAAUGCGUAGAUAUUAGGAGGAACACCAGUGGCGAAGGCGGGUUGCUGGACUGUAACUGACACUGAGGCACGAAAGCGUGGGGAGCAAACAGGAUUAGAUACCCUAGUAGUC
rnacentral:rRNA from 1 species